GCUUUUUUUUUUUCUCAACUUCUAUUUUAUUUUGCUAAUAAAUAAAAAAUUGGAUAAUCCGCAGAUUUCUUUUUUUGACAUCAAAGCAAAUUUGAGGGCAUGAAAACAUAACGUGGUAGAGUCAAUUUUUGUCCGUGGGGCAUAAUUUGUAGUUUGAAAGUCCUUGAGUCAAGUCUUGCCUCUAAGGCAAUAGUUGUAAAACAUCUCAUAAAUGAAAACAUAACGUGGUAGAGUCAACUUUUGCCCCUUGGACAUAAUUUGUUGUUUGAAAGUCCUUGAGUCAAGUCUUGCCUCUAAGGCAAUAGUUGUAGAACAUCUCAUAAAUAAAAAUAUAAUGUGGUAGAGUCAACUCUUGCUCGUGGGGUAUAAUUUAUUGUUUGAAAAUUACUGAGCUAAGUCUUGCCUCUAAGGUAAGAGUUAUAAAACGUAUCAUAAAUCAAAAUACAAUGUGGUAGUGUCAACUCUUGUCCAUGAAACAUAACUUGUUGUUUGAAAGUCAUACGUCUUGUCUCUACAGUGUAGUAGUGUCAACUCUUGUCGUUCGAAAGUCAUAAGUCUUGUCUCUACAGUGUAGUAGUGUCAACUCUUACCCAUGAAUCGUAGCUUGUUGUUCGAAAGUCGUAAGUCUUGUCUUUACAGUAUAGUAGUGUCAACUCUUACCCAUGAAAUGUAGCUUGUUGUUCGAAAGUCAUAAGUCUUGCCUUUAUAAUGUGAUAGUGUCAACUCUUACUUAUGAGAUGUAACUUAAAUGAAAGAAAUCAAAGAAAAGAACAAAAAUUAUAAAAAUUGAGGAAAAAGAAGAAAAUAAAGAAAAAUAUUAAAAAAAUAAAAAUAAAAGAAAAUGUAUAAGUUGCAUGAACAAUAUCAAGUCUUGCAGUUUUGAUUGAAACAUGAGUAGCUAAAUAGGACCCUUAGGACAAUUUUAAAAGGAUUGAUCACGACGGAGAGAAGAUUAUAUUCUCAUUGUGAACUCGGAAGAAGAAUCAUGAAAUAGAACAAAGAAUCUAAGAAGGGCUUCUCUUUAGGAGCAUAAAGAAUUGCUUUGUGGCUAGGAUACAAUCUGACCUCUUUAUAACGUUAUUGCGGCCUAAUCUUUUUCAAAAUCAAUUUUUCAUGUUAUAUUUUACUUCUCUAUAACAACAUUCUAUUUGUAACAACAACGAUAUUUAUUAUCGUGGUAUGUACACCCUUUAUAGAAUUACAUCUAUAUAACAACUUACGCAAAUAUUAUGUAAUAGUAUUUUGUAAGAGAUAUACUAUGUACAAAAUAAAAUAUCAAAUGUUUAUGGUAAUCAUCAUUAAUAUCAUGUAUACCGUAAAUUUUAAGUACGAAUAACUAAUUUAAGGAAAAAAUUAUAUUUAAAUGAUGCGCAUCAAUUAUUUUAUAAUUUCACGAGGAAAAAGGUACUAAUAUUUCUCCUUUUAUAUUUAUGUUCUUUCUAAUUUUGCAUAUUUUUGUUUAUAACAAUUAAAUAAGAUCAGAACUAUCAAAUGUCAAUAUACAUGUAUAGCAACAACUCUCUAUAGAAGCCAUGAAAUUUUCGAAUAAAUAUUACCAUUAUAAAAUGAUUUGACUAUACCAAAAUCGCGUUACUUAGUUAUGAAAUAGGAAGAUAAACAAAUGCAUUCAAAUUGAUUUCUAUGAUCAUACUAGUUGUUGGAGCCCGUGCCAACACGGGCCCAAUUUGUUAUUUUUCGAAUGUUUUAUGCUAUUUUUGUCCUAGUUUAUAUGACACUGAUGAAAUAUUUGAGAAAAUCAAUCAAAUUUGUUAUAUAUAGUUUUAGAUAUUUUAAGUUGUUAAUUAUGUUAUGAUUUAUGCGACUUUCUACGUAAUUUUCAAAUAAUAUCCCUUUAUCUCAAUUAAUAUGACAUCGAUUGAAUUUAAAAAAUCAAGCAUAUUUUUUUAUAUAUUUUUCAAGUAUUUUAGAUUGAUAAUUAUUGUGAUUUAUAUUAUUUUAAUGAAAUUUUCAAAUAAUGUAUCCCAAUUAAUGUUGCAUUAUUGUUAUUUAUAUUACUUUUCACAAAAUGUUUAAAUAGUAUAUCUCAAUUUAUGUUGCACUGCUAAAAUUUUGAGUUAACCAAAAUUUUUUAUCUGUCUCCAAAUAAUUUAAAUUAAUAAUUAUUAUAAUUUUUUCAAAAUUAUAACAAGUUAAAAUUAAAAAUAAAAUAAUAACAUUAAAAUUUAGAAGAUCAGUUAUAUUUUUAAUAUAUUUUAAAUUUCUUUAAGUUGUUAGCUAUUAUAAUUUAUAAUACCUUUUUAGCCUUGUAAUUUAAUAUUUAAUCUUUUAGCUAUUAUAAUUUAUUUUACUCUUCAUGUUCAAAUUUUUGUGGCAUUGAUAGUCAAUUAUAUUUUAAAAAUAGUUUAAGUUUUUAAUUGUUGUAAUUUAUAUACUUUUUCUUCUAUCCAAUUUAAAUGAUAAAGAUAUAAUUUUGAGAGUCAAACAAAUAUCACUAUUAAGUAGCGAAGUAGAUAUAUAUUAAAUAACUCGUAAUAAUUAAUUAGAAGUGAUAUAACAAAAUUACUAUGAAAAUACGUGUCAAAAAAUUUAAGUAGAUCACAUAUAAAAUAUCAAAUUAAAUACGGGUCCAUGUAUAUAUUGUAAAAAUAAUUGAAACAAUAUCCCAAAAUUUUUAAGUGGAACCUACUGCUGGAAAGCUAAAACACAGUUUUUUUUGGUAAUAAACCCAACCUAUCCUAGGCUUUAUGGUCCAAAGUAAAAGAAGCACAUUCAUAUAGAACCUAAGUACAACAACUUCAAAGAGAAAUAAAAUACAAAAUACCUAAAACACCCUUAAACAAACUACAAAUUCCAACAAGCUACUCACACUUAUAUAUAGUCUGUCUAUGAUCAUGUAAAAUAACUUUUCUAAGCUUCAAGCAACUUCUACACACCAAUAUUUACUUGUAGGUCCAAAAUAAAAUUUCACUUUUUGGAUCUUUAGGUUAUUACCUCAAACAUUUGGUAUGAACGAACACUAAUCAUGUAAUGUAUGGAUAUUUAAGAUUAAAUUGCACUACACAUCAACGUAUUCAGUAUAAUUUUAUAAAAUGGGGUUUAAAGAGGAUAGAGUGAGUAUCUGCAGAUUUUAUCUCUGUCUCAUAGAUAGAGCGGUUGUUUCUCCUCGAUUCAAGGAAAGAUCAUCCGAAGUAAUUCUUACGAAGUAUGUCGCGUCAAUCAGGAUCAAAUAACACUAAAGGACAAAUGAGAAAUAUAUACGUAAUUAUUUCUUUUAACCUUUUGAAAACUACAAUUAUUUUAGUAAAGACGGCAAAUACUAGUUUUAUCCUUUGUUUCGUUUAGUCAAAUGAUCCAUAUUUGCCAUUACUGUUAACUAAGGACCCCAAUUUCCUAUGAAAAAAUGGUGAUUUGAGCAAAUAGUCACAGAAAAAACAAGGAAAAGAAAACAGUCCUUUUAUUACACAUCACAUAAAAGGACAAAACAAGUUGUCGAUGUCAUGUUAAACUAGUCAAAAAAGGAACACCUCUUCCAGUUUCUCUCCUUUUUUAAGCUUUGGAAAUGGCAUUUUUCUUGCUCUAGUAAAGAGCAAACAAACAAAAACAACCCUCAGUUUUUUCUUCUCUGUCCCUUUCGCAGCCAAAGUAUUUCUGUAUACACAUAGACUCUUAACUGUUACUUUUAUCAGCAAAGAAGAGAAGUGUUUGAAUUCUUGGUUUUGAAAGAAUGGUGAGUUCACAAAAUCAACAAGGUUUGUUUACUAUUUGUUGCAUGCAAAAAUGGCAUCUUUUUUUUUUUUUUCUUUUUUGAGUUGGUAGUUACUUUGUUUUUGUUUUGAGGGAUAUACUAGUCUGUUUCAUUUUUCAGUCCUUUGGGUUUCAAGAAAGGCAUUUGUUUGCCGGUCAUAUCCCUUAAAAAUUGAUUCUUUAGCAUCUUUAUUCAUUGUAUAAAUUUAGUUUCCAUUUUUUCAUGAUGCUUCUUUUUUUAUACAAAAGAUAUAAUAGAUCUUUGGUUCUGUUCUGGAUUUUCAACAAGAGUUUAAUUUGCUAGUGUUCAAUGCAUGACUAAAGACAUGUUUCAUUUCAAGCCAUAAACAAUGUCGGAGCCAGAAUUUUCACUAGGUCGCAAUAUGAAGAAGUAAACACAAAAGAUAAACCAAGUUGAUUCAGCAUAUAAUAUAUAUAUAUACACUACAACAACAUACCUAGUGUAGGAAAGGGUGUACGCAGAACUUAACCCCUACCUUGGAGGUGGGAGGUUGUUUCCGAUAAACCUUCUGCUAAAAAAAAUAAAAAUAACAGGAGUGAAGAAACCAUGACAAUAUAUAAUAUAUAAAUACAUAGACGAAGAAAAAUUACCUAGCUACACACUGUAAUGUUUUGACACCCUUGAACAAAGGUGGCUCUGCCAUUGGUCAUUUCCUCC
rnacentral:lncRNA from 1 species